CAGCAGUAUCCUUGUCCUGGGCCUGACUGAAUGCGCUCACAGCGCUGCGGUGCGACGUGCAUGCGCCGGUGUGUUUAAUGCGAUCGGAAUGAGGGACGAGCUUCGCAGAGGAGAGAAAAAGGAACAUUUCACCACGUUCAGGUUCAGGAGAAAAACGCUUCCACAACAGAGAUCUUGCAGCCUGAUCCAGGAACCGUUUUUUACGAAUGUUUCAUACAUGAUAGUCUGGUAGGAUCGGUCCGAUUGGGAACCAAAACUGCAACAUUUGUUACAUUCUCAGAUGCUGUGGUCCUCUUCCACACUGAACUGAGUCAAACCAACCAAACCCUUUGAAAAACAGUUCCCCUCCUCGCCUGUGGGGGCGCUGCACAUAUAACCUCAUGAAGGAAACAACAUGAAAGCCUCUGAAGAAGACACUGAGUGGAACGUCCUUCUUCGAUAAAUGUAAACAAAAAUAGAGUAGCUUCAGAUUUGUUGUUGGUAAAAGACGACAAGUCAUUUCUUCUGCUAGCAUUAGCCUGCUAGCAUUAGCCUGCUAGCAUGCCUUGCGAUAUAGUUCACUUCCUGCUUUUGGCACACUUGGCGUUCACAUAUGCAUCCGAACCGCACCACAAUUCACUUCAACCGAUCCAGACCAAGGUUUAUAGGCGGACCAGAGUUCGUUCUUUCAGUCCACAUCAGAGUUUGAUUACGCAUUCUCACCUCCCCAAAGGAACCGGAUUUUCCAGGCAAAUGGUCUGGAGCUGGAUUAAAGCGGAUUAAACAUG